UUUGGUACGAUCAAAAUUAUAAUAUAUUUAAUUAUUUUAUUUUACAAAAUACAUCAAACUAUGUCAUUUAAUAUAUAUCAUUACAUCCAAAAUUAUAAUAUCAUACCUAAAGUCGAUCUUCAGACCACUUCAGUUCUCAACCCACCUCAAGCCCUCUUCCACCCUCACGCCUCUUCCACCCUCGCAGAAGACAGUGGCUAGCUCUUCCACCCUUUUCCACCGUCGCGGAAGACAGAGACUCUUUCACCUUCUUCUAGAAGCAAAGGCCGAAUGACCUAAUCGUUCCAACAGCUACUCUUAAUCAUAAGUCAUUUUGGAAUAAAUAAGCUUUCUGGUGAAAUCCCAUCCUAGCUUUUUAGCUCAAACAUGAAGCUAAUGCAUUUGGUCAUUAUUUUGGUUCAUGUGGAAUGGGUGUCUUCGUAUCAGAUUGGUUUUGUUGUUCUGCUUCUGUCGGCAUCUGUUCUUGGAUGCAAUGAAAGAAAAGGCUGCACAAAAUUCUCUAAAUUCUGAUGGUACGAGUCCAACCAUAAAUGAUGUUGAGAUAGUGCAAAACCAACUAGGUAUAAGGAAGGGAUAUUGCCGUGGAUUCGGACAAGGUUUUAGUUUUUGUUCAGAAAACUGGAGAUUUUAUGGAUCUUGAAUAUAUAUAUUGUGGGUUUAUUUUGUUUUAUGACUAGUAAUAUCUUUUUGAAUGUUAUUGUAGAUCUAUUUUGUUUAUAUUUUGCAUGUAUCCGGAAUGGUUAAACCCACAGAAAUCAUGUAUUAGGGAUAGUUUACCCGUCCCAAAUACAAUAAUUAUAAUUAAAAAAAUCAUGUAUUAGGGAUAGUCUAUCUGUCCCUAAUACAAUAAUAAUAAUAAUAAUAAUAAUAAAUUUAUUAGGGACAGUCCAUCCGUCCCUAAUACAAUAAUUAUAAUUUAAAAAUAAUGUAUUAGGGAUGGUCUAUUCGUCCCUAAUACUAUAGGUAUUGGGGAUAGUCUAUACCGUUCUUAAAAAGUUUUAGGGACGGUGUUAUUUGGGAUAGUUUGACUGUCCCUAAAAGUCAAAAGUAUUUGUCACGGUCAAUUUUGACCGUCCCUAAAGCUCUUUUGGCAUGCUACUUUUAAUCACGGACCAAUUUGACUUUUAGGGACGGAUUCCGGGCUUUUAAGGACAGUUUCGACGUCCCUAAAACCCGAAUUUCUUGUUGUGACCCUUGUCUUCGUUUUGCUUCUGUUGAGUCUCAAAACUCCUCCAAGGGCCAUUCUUGUGUCUUAGGGAUAACGUACACCUCUAAAGACUUUGGUUUUAUAAUUCGCUUCCGCAUUUCGGAUCCGUUACCGGAUCAACGUUUUGGGUCAUCACAGGACACGUUGGGUUGUAAAAUCCAGGGUCGUCACAUUCCUAUUAUGAUUUUCCUUCCUAUUUGGUUUAGAAUACUACCAAUAAUCCUAUGCAGAAAAUUACAUUUUCCUAUGCAUGUCUAGGUCUUUGAAAAUUCUAUAUAAACAUUGAAAUUCAUCUAAGUUGAUACGGUUUCUACACUAUAACUUCAGAAUUCUUACAAGCCUAUUAGAGAGAUAUUUUUACAGAAAAUCAAAGUUGAUUUUUCUGUCAUUCUUUUUAGAACACACACAUAACACAAGAGUCAGUUUAGAGUGUUGUUCAAAUUCCUGAUCAUGAUCGAAGUAUCUACAAACGAUCAGAGAAAGCAGAUCUAAUUAUUCUACAUCAAAUUCAAAUCUUGAAGAACAGAGGUGAAGCGAUCACACUUUGAAAGGGUCAAAACAUUCGAAGAAUGUUGUUUGAUUUACCAGUAAUCCUAGCCUUCUACAUAGAUCAAGAGUAAGCCUGAGGUCAAGAGCUGUUGUUGGACGGGACGUCGCAAAGCAAGAGGACUGUUAACAAUUGGUGUUUGGUAGAGUGAUAGUGUGUGAGCCUGAGUCAAAGUCCAUUGUACUUUGUUUCAAACAUAGUGGAUCGGUUUACUUUGGACUGCACAGUCCACAAGGUUUUCUUACUCAAACAGUUGGUCUAUUUUACUAAUUGGGUUUCCUUGCUAAAAAUCCUGGUGUCAUCUCUAACUCUAUUACUUUACUUUAUUUUAUCUUGCAUGAGAUUAAUUGAUUAAUUGCUAAAAUAAGUAAAGUUAGAAAGACACAGAUCUAUUUUUAAAAUACAAAGCUUUCUACACAAGUUAUCUUCCAUUGCACAGCUCACAAAUUGGUAUGAGAGCCAAUCUCUACACAUUGAAUUGAUCUUCAUGGAAAGUUUUUUAGUUUUUCAAAAAUUUGUUUCAUCAUGUCUUAUGCGUUGAAAAAAUGUGGUUAUAAUCAACGUGGUCCUUUAUUUGAAGGAAAUAAUUAUAAUUUUUAAAAAUCUAUGAUGAGAGCCUAUUUGCAAAGUUUAGGAGGUAAAGUUUGGACUGUAGUUGAAACUGGUUAUACACCACCUACAAAAGAAAAAACUGUGGAUGGUAAAGUAACUUAAGUUUUGAAGAUACUUUUACCUUUAUUGCAGUUGAAAUUGAGCUUAAUAAUGCUAAUGGAAAAGCCUUAUAUGCAAUUAUAAAUUUUGUUAUUCUAUCUGAGUAUGUUAGAAUUUCUGAUUGUAAAACUGCUAAAGCUACUUGAGAUAUUUUGUAAGUUAUUCAUGAAGGGACUUCAAAGGUGAAGUUGUCCAAAUCCAAAUGUUUUAUCAUAACUUUGGGAACAUUGUGAUGAAAGAAGAUGAAUCAUUUUCUGAUUUUUAUUCUAGUCUUCUUGAAAUUAUUUAUGACCUGCGUCACUUAGGCAAAAGAGUUAGUGAUAAGACAAUCUGUGAGAAAAUCUUAAGGUCUAUACCUAAAAGAUUUCAAAUAAGGGUAAAAAUUAUUACUGAGCACUGGGAUUUGUCUAUUUCUAAAGUAGAUGAAGUUAUAGGUUCAUUGAAAAAUUUUGAGAUGCAAAAUUUUGAUCUAAAUCAGAAGGAAAAUAUUAUUGCUUUAAAAUCAACACAGGUUAAUAAUUCUAUCGAUGAAAAUUCUGAUGAUGAUGUUGCUUUUAUUUCAAGGCAAUUUAAUCAGUUUUUGCAAAGACAAUAGAGGAGAAGGAAUGACAGUGGGGCUAAUCCUAAAUUUUUUAACAAGGGGUCAAAAUUGAGAAUAAAUGAAAUGAAAGUAAAAAAAGUAGAAAAAAAAAAAAAAAAAAACUGAAUUCACUUGCUGGAAUUGUGGUGGCAAAGGUCACGCAGCGAAUAUUUGUCCUAGUUUUAAGAAAGAUCAAAAUGAUAGGAAUAAAGGAAAAACAAUGAAAGUUUCUGUUUCUGAAAAUUCUGCUUCCAGUGAUAAUGAAUCUCCUCAUGAUGAUUGCAAUGAUUUUUCUUAUGUUGCUUUUCUAAAUAAAGGUCUUCAUAUUGUUUCUUUGUCUAACUCUGACAUUUCAGAUGAUGAAGCCAAUGAAAUUCUUGAUGAAUAGGUUCAAGAGGAUGAAGAAAAAUUGAAGAAUAUGUUCGAAGAGACUAUUGAAGUCAAAUUGGCUGUUAACAAGUUAGCAAAGAAGCUUAUUCAAGCAAAAGAAGAGAAUGAAAAAUCUAAGAAAAUAGAUUGAUGAAGGAAAAAGAAAAACUUUUGAAAGCAAUUUAAUCAUCUUUGAUCUUAACAGGAAGAUCAUCAUUCUUGAAGAUAAGGUUAUUAGAAGUUCAAGUCUCAAGGUUGAGGAUCCGCAACUGGAGGACUUAUCUAUUCUUUCUAUUUUAUUUCAAAGUAGGAUAUUAUUACUUCAGUAAUUAUUAAUGGAUUUGUGGAUAGUGGAUUUUGGUUAAGGGGUCCUUAAGUUACGGAAUUACCGAGUUGUAACCAUUGGCGAGUUAUUAAUAGAAAUUUUUAUUUAUUAGUUUUUCUUCAGCGUAUUAUUUAUUCUUUUAUUUCAUUUUGUACUCUGUGCUUG